UAGCGUAGGGUCCAAGCGUUAUCCGGAAUCACUGGGCGUAAAGCGUACGUAGGUGGCGUGUUAAGUGAGAAUGUUAAAUCGUGUGGCUCAACCAUACGUUGUGUCUCAUACUGGCAUGGCUAGAGGACGGCAGAGGCAAGUGGAAUUACGAGUGUAGCAGUGAAAUGCGUAGAUAUUCGUAGGAACACCAAGUGGCGAAGGCAGCUUGCUGGGCCACACCUGAACACUGGAGGUAACGGAAAGCGUGGGGAGCGAACAGG
rnacentral:rRNA from 1 species